rnacentral:rRNA from 1 species
UACGGAGGGAGCUAGCGUUGUUCGGAAUUACUGGGCGUAAAGCGCACGUAGGCGGCUUUGUAAGUUAGAGGUGAAAGCCCGGGGCUCAACUCCGGAAUAGCCUUUAAGACUGCAUCGCUUGAAUCCGGGAGAGGUGAGUGGAAUUCCGAGUGUAGAGGUGAAAUUCGUAGAUAUUCGGAAGAACACCAGUGGCGAAGGCGGCUCACUGGACCGGGUAUUGACGCCUGAGGCGCGGAAAGCGUGGGUAGCAAACAGG